rnacentral:tRNA from 1 species
AGGAGAGUAGCUCAAUGGUAGAGCUUUGGCCUCCAAAACCAAGCGCUGAAGGUUCAAAUCCUUUCUCUCCUG